rnacentral:rRNA from 1 species
CACGUAGGGCGCAAGCGUUGUCCGGAAUCAUUGGGCGUAAAGAGCGUGUAGGCGGCCCGGUAAGUCCGCUGUGAAAGUCGGGGGCUCAACCCUCGAAUGCCGGUGGAUACUGUCGGGCUAGAGUGCGGAAGAGGCGAGUGGAAUUCCUGGUGUAGCGGUGAAAUGCGCAGAUAUCAGGAGGAACACCGAUUGCGAAGGCAGCUCGCUGGGACGUCACUGACGCUGAGACGCGAAAGCGUGGGGAGCAAACAGG